rnacentral:rRNA from 1 species
GCUUAACGCGAAGAACCUUACCCAGACUUGACAUCCUUGGAAGGACUACGAAAGUAGACUGUGCCUUUUGGAGCCAAGUGACAGGUGUUGCAUGGCCGUCGUCAGCUCGUGUCGUGAGAUGUUUGGUUAAGUCCAUUAACGAGCGCAACCCUUGUGAAUAGUUGUAUUUUUCUAUUCAGACUGCCCUGGCAACAGGGAGGAAGGAGGGGAUGAUGUCAGGUCAGUAUUACCCUUACGUCUGGGGCUACAAACACGCUACAAUGGCCGGUACAAAGGGACGCCAACCCGCGAGGGGGAGCAAAUCCCAUCAAAGCCGGUCUCAGUUCGGAUUGCAGGCUGAAACUCGCCUGCAUGAAGCUGGAAUCGCUAGUAACGGUAAGUCAGCAGAUUACCGUGAAUACGUUCCCGGGUCUUGUACACACCG